CCUACGGGGGGCAGCAGUGGGGAAUAUUGGACAAUGGGCGAAACCUGAUCCAGCCAUGCCGCGUGUGUGAAGAGGUCUUCGGAUUGUAAGCACUUUAAGUUGGGAGGCGUUACCGACAGAAUAAGCACCGGCUAACUCUGUGCCAGCAGCCGCGGUAAUACAGAGGGUGCAAGCGUUAAUCGGAAUUACUGGGCGUAAAGCGCGCGUAGGUGGUUUGUUAAGUUGGAUGUUAAAGCCCCGGGCUCAACCUGGGAACUGCAUCCAAAACUGGCAAGCUAGAGUACGGUAGAGGGUGGUGGAAUUUCCUGUGUAGCGGUGAAAUGCGUAGAUAUAGGAAGGAACACCAGUGGCGAAGGCGACCACCUGGACUGAACUGACACUGAGGUGCGAAAGCGUGGGGAGCAAACAGGAUUAGAUACCCUUGUAGUC
rnacentral:rRNA from 1 species